rnacentral:rRNA from 1 species
CUGCUGCCUUCCGUAGGAGUCUGGUCCGUGUCUCAGUACCAGUGUGGGGGACCUUCCUCUCAGAACCCCUACGCAUCGUCGCCUUGGUGGGCCGUUACCCCGCCGGCAAGCUAAUCAGACGCAUCCCCAUCCUUUACCGGCCGAAGCCUUUGGUCAUGAAAAUAUGCAUCAACAUGACAACAUACGGUAUUAAUCCGCCUUUCGACGGGCUGUCCCAUAGUAAAGGGCAGGUUGGAUACGCGUUACUCACCCGUGCGCCGGUCG